GCCCGCAUCACCCAAACCGUGCGGAUUCCGUCUUUUAAUCCGCAGGUCGUAGGUUCGAGCCCUACUGGGGGCA
rnacentral:tRNA from 1 species